CUAUAGAUGACAGGGUGGUGAUGAACAGACCUAUAGAUGACAGGGUGGUGAUGAACAGACCUAUAGAUGACAGUGUGGUGAUGAACAGACCUAUAGAUGACAGGGUGGUGAUGAACAGACCUAUAGAUGACAGGGUGUUGGUUAUCAGUUAGUUCACUGUCUCAGGAGUUUAAAACACACUACCACUCAACUCCAAUCAAUCAGUCACCUAAAUGUUAAACUAAUGUGUGAAUCUGCUGCUUGGUGAAGCCACAGCAACAACUCACCCUCACCACAUGUCAGGGUUUACAUACUGUAUAUGUGGAAGAAUUAAGGCCAUACCUGUGAAUAUAUUCCUUUAAAGGGCGUACAGGUGAAUAUAUUUGUUAGGUGAAUGAACUGAGGAUGUUGGUUAGGUGACUGGGGCGUACAGGUGAAUAUAUUUGUUAGGUGACUGGGGCGUACAGGUGAAUAUAUUUGUUAGGUGACUGGGGUAGAGGUGAAUAUAUGAAUGGACUGCACAUAGCUUAAUAUAUUUGGUAGAUGAUUCUCCCUCAGGAUGUCUGUGUGUAUGACUUCACUGACUUUGACUUCAUGUUAUUGUACAGAUUUGAACUGUUCUAAUGGCAUUCAGGUUGGCUAGCGAUCUGAAGCCUCGCUCUAGUGCUGUAUGUCUGUGACCUCUGACCCCUGAUGAACACAGAUUAACGUCCUCUUUUCCCCUGCUGUUGUUGUUUCCGCCCUCCCAUUCCAGAUCUGCCUUCUUCAUAUGUUUUUUGUUGACGAUGAUGCAGAAAGUCUGAUGUAAAUACAGUCUGAUCUUAAAUUAUUACUUUAGACAGUUAUUUCUCAUAACUUUGUUUUACGUUAGCGUGUUUGUGUCAGCGAGUCAGGGCUCCAUCAUGUGCCAAUCCCCAUCUCCACGGAAACGCAGGAUUCUUGCCUGUGAUGUAAUCGCAUAGGCUAUAUAUAAAUGCUGUAAAUAACAGUUUAUGAAGUGUUACUUGAUCCUAUGUAAUUAUUACAAUGAGGACUAUUUUAAUUAUUUCAUGUUAUACAGUUGAAGUCGACAGUUUACAUACACUUAGGUUGGAGUCAUUAAAACUAGUUUUUCAACCACUCCACAAAUUUCUUGUUAACAAACUAUAGCUUUGGCAAGUGGGUUAGGACAUCUACUUUGUGCAUGACCAAGUAAUUUUUCCAACAAUUGUUUACAGACAGAUUACUUCACUUAUAAUUCACUGUAUCACAAUUCCAGUGGGUCAGAAGUUUACAUACACUAAGUUGACUGUGCCUUUAAACAGCUUGGAAAAUUCCAGAAAAUGAUGUCAUGGCUUUAGAAGCUUCUGAUAAGCUAAUUGACAUCAUUUCAGUCAAUUGGAGGUGUACCUGUGGAUGUAUUUCAAGGCCUACCUUCAAACUCAGUGCCUCUUUGUUUGACAUCAUGGGAAAAUCUAAAUAAAUCAGCCAAAACCUCAGAAAAAAGAUUGUAGACCUCCACAAGUCUGGUUCAUCCUUGGGAGCAAUUUCCAAACGCCUGAAGGUACCACAUUCAUUUGUACAAAUAAUAGUGCGCAAGCCGUCAUACCGCUCAGGAAGGCUACGCGUUCUGUCUCCUAGAGAUUUACAUUUACAUUUACAUUUAAGUCAUUUAGCAGACGCUCUUAUCCAGAGCGACUUACAAAUUGGUGCAUUCACCUUAUGAUAUCCAGUGGAACAACCACUUUACAAUAGUGCAUCUACAUCUUUUAAGGGGGGGGUUAGAAGGAUUACUUUAUCCUAUCCUAGGUAUUCCUUAAAGAGGUGGGGUUUCAGGUGUCUCCGGAAGGUGGUGAUUGACUCCGCUGUCCUGGCGUCGUGAGGGAGCUUGUUCCACCAUUGGGGUGCCAGAGCAGCGAACAGUUUUGACUGGGCUGAGCGGGAACUGUGCUUCCUCAGAGGUAGGGGGCCAGCAGGCCAGAGGUGGAUGAACGCAGUGCCCUUGUUUGGGUGUAGGGCCUGAUCAGAGC
rnacentral:lncRNA from 1 species